rnacentral:rRNA from 1 species
AUGAGCCCUCCUCCGCCGUCGCGUCGGACUCCCACUUACAUCCUCCUCCUCCUCCUGCUCUUCUUCUCGCUAACCGCGUCGGCUGCACAACCAAAAGGGGUAUGUGUUUCACCUGGUGGACGGUUCCCUGCUUUCUCAUUUGAAGGCAAGCCUCCUGGAAAAGCAGCAAAGGGGCGCAGAGACCUAGCACUAUGUAGGAUAUUCCGCCAGAACACAUGUUGUGACGUGACUCAGACAUUUCCUGCCCUGCUUUCAGUGCGAAAGCUCUCGUCAACUGGUGAAGGUAGUGGAGAAUGCCUUCAUUUGUGGGAGUUGCUCGAGUGCUCAGUUUGUGAUCCACGAGUUGGUGUCAGGCCUGGACCUCCUGUUAUAUGUGCAUCAUUCUGUGACAUGGUUUUCGAAGCUUGCUCGGAGGCAUACUUCUCCAUUGAUAUGAAAACACAGGCCUUAUCUCCUUGUGGUUUAGGUGACAUCCUUUGUGGCAAAGCACAUAAGUGGGUUUCUAACGGCACAGAGCUAUGUCGCCUUGCUGGUUUCUCUGUGCAAGUUUCUGAUGCCGGUCUUAGUGAAGUUGACGAAACCUUCUGCUAUGGCGGGAAAGCAAGUUUGGAUUCCAUAUCCCAUACAUGGACGUCUUCAAAAGAUCGUCCAGUAUUACAUGGUAUGGCCUCUUGGCAUCUUGAAGAUUUUCAGAUAUGGGCAAAAGAAAUGCCUGUCGGUGAAAGAAUUUCGUGGGCAGUCGGAGGAAUGGUUCUUACAGCAGGCCUUAUUUUUAUCAGCAAAAGAGAGGGCUACAGCCGUCGUCGUAAGCAAGCUUCUGUCGCUCAAACUGUAAGAAAAAAAUGGAAUCGGGAGCUAACCUGCAGCAACUGA